rnacentral:tmRNA from 1 species
GGGGCUGACUUUAAGUUAGACGUAUGUUCUUUGACAACCAGAAACGUGCAAGUUGGUUAGGCUUGCCAUUAUUGAGCCAAAAACUAUAGUUGCCGAAAACUAUAUCGUAGCAGGAAUUCGGAAUUGCCUAGAUAUUUUUAGGAGAUCUUCCGCAGUUCAUGCUUUUGCCUAGAUUAAUUCUAAGCAAACUUUAAAUUUCAUUUUUUCCAAACCAUCUCGAUUUGAAUCAGAAGUUUAAAGAUUUCAUAUUUUUCGAGAUUGCCAGAUAUUUGUAGUGGAAUAUCUUCAAGAAAUAAACUUGCGUUAUUGUUGGUCAUUUUGUCUGUUUUUAAGAUCAACAAGUCGACAAAGAAAUUUUUUAAAUGGACUAAACUUGUAAAGCGUAGAGUUGUUACAAUGUAGCGGAUGCGGGGGUAGUGCCCGCCAGCUCCACCA